rnacentral:rRNA from 1 species
UACGUAGGUGGCAAGCGUUGUCCGGAUUUACUGGGCGUAAAGAGCGCGCAGGCGGUCGUCCAAGUCGCGUGUGAAAGCCCCCGGCUCAACUGGGGAGGGUCACGCGAUACUGGUCGACUCGAAGGCAGGAGAGGGUAGUGGAAUUCCCGGUGUAGUGGUGGAAUGCGUAGAGAUCCGGAAGAACACCGGAGGCGAAGGCGGCUUGCUGGGCUUUGUCUGACGCUGAGGCGCGAAAGCGUGGGGAGCGAACAGG